rnacentral:misc_RNA from 1 species
CAGACAUCCUCUGGAAAUUGAGUGUUUCAUUAUUUUUUCAUGCAUGGUAUAAUUAUUCCAUUGCUGACAUUGCGUUAAUGAUGGAACUUGGCUGCCAUCAUCACAAAAAUGGUAAAUGUAUAUUGAGAAAAUAUCCUACGAGUGGAUUUUCUAUAUAUUUUCCAUAUGUUGAGGUGAUGGAACCCAAUUUCUUUUUGUGACCUUUAUCACACGAGAGUCUUCUGUACCUUUAAUGCUACAUUUGACAAAUUAGAGCCAUUCAAUAUCCAAGGGAUGCCUAGUAUUUUCCUACUUGUUUUACAUUGUUCAAUCGAAUGAUGGUGCCAUUCUCAUUUUUCACU